rnacentral:rRNA from 1 species
AUGGCGCUCGCCGCCCUCGAGAGCUGCUUCCGCGCCGUCCCGCCAGAGGCCGUCGCCGCCGUCGUCGACUGCGUCCUCGCCUCCUCCUCCCCCUCCUCCGCCUCGCCCUCCGAGCUCUUCCUCUCGCUCCUCGACUCUUUCCCCAAGCUCUCUUCCCCGUCUUCCUUGCAGGUGCAGGACGGCGGCCACGGCCAUGCCGCCGCCCUCUCCCACGCCGCCGCGCUCUGCCAUCUGCUCCCCCGCCUCGGCGACGACCCCAGGGACGCCCUGCGCACGCUGCUCUGGAGGGUCUUCCUGCCGCUCCUCCGCCGGGAGGACGCCCAGCCCAGCCGGCUCCAGCAGCAGGCGGCCGCGCUCAUGUGCGACGCCGUCUCCCGCGCCCGGUCCUGGGACCUGCUCGGAGCCACCGUCCUGCCCUUCUGCGUCCGGUCCUGCGCUGCUGCGAUGGCUUUGCCCACCACCCACCAGUAUGACGGUGACGACUCCAUUGUGUACUGCUACCACUGGGAUGCUGUCGCCCCGGAUGAUGGGCUGUCAGGGGAGGCAGGGCUGCUGCCGCUCUCCAGGGCCACCGCGCUCCUGGCGUCGUUGCUGGGAGACGCGCUGAAGAGGAGAAGGGAGGCCCAUGAGGAGGGCGCCGACGCUUCGCUUGAUGCAUUGGUGCGGAAUUUGACCUGGGACAUGUCUAGGCUGGUGCUCAAGAUGUUUGACCUCUGCCAAGAGUAUCGGUCCUGCGCCACCCGGGCCCUCCUGCAGCCUGUGCUGACUUCACUAGCAGAUGUUUCUUGCGUCACCGUCGAGUUCGGUGCGGUCCAGCUUAAGCUAUCUAGGUCUGGUUUCUUGGAGUCCAUUUGGAACUCCUGUGUCUCUCUGUUCUCUCUUGGCCGCCCUGAGCGGUUGGAUGCGUACGAUAUACUCUCUCUGUACUUCUCGGUGUUGAAAUCGGGACAUCAGGGUGCUAUCCCAGGAGCUGACGAGGUCCAGAACUUUGAUCUAAGGAAUGUCGCUGAAUUUUGGGAUGAACUACGCAGGGGGCUGGUUGACAAGGAUUCUUCAGUAAGGAAGCAGGCCUUUUACGUCUUGAAAACAUCGCUAAGCAUAUUUUCUUUUGGAAAUGAUGGGAGCCAGCGAUGCUCUGGCAGGAGCCCAGCUGCUUUGCCUGGUCAAGACAAAUCAAAUGCCGCUGUGACAAAAAAAGAAAGGUGGGCUAACAAAGAGGCCAAGUCCCUAGGUGUUGAAGAAAUCAAGCAAUCAGAUGAACAAUGUUCAAGUGGUCAAGACCGAUGGAAGGUCUUUCUGUUACUCUAUGAGAUGCUCCAGGAGUUUGGGACACAUUUGGUUGAGGCAGCCUGGACACACCAGGUACUGUUAUUGUUUGAGUCUACCCCACAGAGUGACUAUUUGAAUCACACAUCAUACAGAGCUUUUCAUGCUCAGAUGGAAUCCGUGGAAGGAAUUUUCAACUGGAUGACGGUACUGUGGGAGCGUGGGUUUACUCAGGAUAAUCCUCAAGUGCGGUGCCUCGUAAUGCAAUCCUUUUUGGAUAUUGAAUGGGAACGUUACAAAGGCUACGCCCAAAUGGUCCCUAGAGGCUUUGUUCUUGGCCCUCUCAUACGUGGUUUGAACGAUGUAGUUCAUCAUAAGGAUUUUGGUGUCGGUGGUGUCUAUAAUUCAGAAGCCAUAAAAGGUGCAGAGAGGUUUUUCAGCAAUUAUGCCCGGAAAUUGACGAUACGUGAGCGUUUACAUCUGGUUUGGAGUCUGGCAUCUGCUGCUAAACAAGAUUCAUUUGGCCGACCAGGACUAAUGACUCUUGCAUUCUGUAUUGCGUCAUGCGCUUGUCAGUCAGAUACACAUGACUUACCAUGUGGGUCUGCUGUAAACGAAUUGGCCAAAUGCAACGGAGAUACAUCUAUAGCAGUCAAUACUGUGGAUUUUUUAGAUGCCUUAUGGAUUCUUAGUGAGAGGAGUAAACACCACUUUAAUCCAAAGUAUCGCCUAAAAGUUUGUGAACAGGUUAUCAAAGCCGUAGCAUCGUUGACAAGUGCAGCUGAAAUUCCACUCAAUCAGCUUUUUAAUUUCAUUUCUACAAUACCUCGAGAGUGUACUGAUUCUACUGGACCACUGAGGGGUACAGUCCAGAAAUGGCUUCUUCAGAAAAAAGAAUGUUCUGAGAGGAACACUUUGUUGGAUGAGCUUAUUGAUUUCCCGACCACCUUCAUGAAGCACACAGGCAUAGAGGGGUCGUAUUUAUAUGAUGACGAGGAUGUGGGUGCAUGGGAAGCUGAAGCACGGAGGUGGGCUAGGACCCUUCUUCUUGUAACCUCAGAGGAACAUCAUUUCAAGCAAAUAUUUACGUUCCUGGAGAAAUGUGGUAACAAGCUUUCUGAACAUUCUUCAACGAGAAAAUGUGCUGACGUGAAGUUUUUUAUCAUCAUUAUAUGCUUGAUCGAGGAGCUUGAAGUUAGACAGAAAAAGCUUGUUCACCAAAAUAACGCCAUCGCCGGUGGAGGUUCAGAUACGACAAAUGGAUUAGAGCACCGUGCUCUCACUCAGAUGUUUGAAAAAUCAUUGCUUUCAGUUCUGGAAAAUAUGGUGGCCUUCAGCAAGCAAUCUUGCUCAGUUUUCUGGUUAAAAAAUACAGACAACAUGGAUUUACCAUGUUCUAUUAAAGGAAGGCUUGGAGGUCCGAGUCAGCGUCGUUUAGCUACUUCUAUAACCUCUUCAGUGUUGCAGUGUAUUUGGUCUAUGAGGUGUGUUAGUUCUGUUGUCUCAUGGUGUAACCACUACACCUCUGAUGUUUCUUUUCAUUCAGCAUUUUCAUUCCUCUGGGAAUUCUGUUGGGAAGUGAUCCAGCAUUGUACUUAUGCCACUGAGAUUGGAGCUGAACUUCACUUGGCAGCUUAUGAAGCUCUAGCUUAUGUUCUAGCAGCUCUAUCUACUGCUCCCUUUUCUCAGUUUCUGGAUUUCAUGGAAACAAAGCAAACAAACCAAACCAUCAUAUUAUCAUUGGAUCUUCUGGCGACCACUUUUCUUGGUAAUAUAAACAAUCUCCUUACAAAUGGAGUCCUAACACGAAGCAGACGAGCUGUUUUAAUGUGUUGGAAGUGGCUUUGUGUAGACUCCCUUUUAUCCAUUUCUAGCUGCUGUGAUGAGAAUGAAUCUCAGAUGAAGACAUCAGGUUCCUUUUAUUCAGAUUCAACCCUCCAGUCCAUCUUUAUUGAUAUUAUUGAAAGUCUUGAAAAUGCUGGCGAGAAUUCUGUUGUAUCCAUCCUUAGAUGCGUGAGGUCUGUUUUGGGGCUUAUACACUUAAAUAGGAGUCGCCAAAAUUUAUCCUCUCUGGGCAUCAGUUAUGAGAUGAUGAUGCAAUUGGUAAAGUCUUCCUGGCUCUUGCACCUUAGCUGCAAUAAACGCAGGGUCGCACCAAUUGCUGCACUGCUGUCCGCAAUAUUGCACCCAUCAAUCUUUCCCAAUUUGGAAAUGCACCAGACAAAUGAAAAAGGGCCAGGACCUUUGAAAUGGUUUGUCGAGACUCUUCUUAAUGAAGGCUCAAAGAGUCCUCGAACUAUUCGCCUGGCAGCUUUGCACCUGAGUGGUCUAUGGUUGAUGUACCCCCAAACUCUUAGAUUUUACAUGGAGGAACUUAAGCUAUUAGCAUUAUAUGGAUCUGUGGCAUUCGAUGAAGAUUUUGAAGCUGAACUGUCUGAAAAUCACGAGGCAAGAUUUGAAGUUUCCAUGCUAGCGCAAAGUCCAGACUGUGAAUUCACAGAGGUGUUCAUUAAUACAGAAUUGUAUGCCCGUGUUUCAGUUGCUGCUCUAUUUCAUCAGCUAUGGAAGCAAAUCAAAGAAAAGAGCAAAUUGGAGACAGAAGAAGCUCUUCAAUGUGGCAAACUAUUUUUACUUAAACUUCUGGAUUCAGCGGUGAAUGACAAUGAUCUCUCGAAAGAACUUUACAAGAAAUACAGCAGUGUACAUAGGCGCAAAGUUCGUGUGUGGCAGAUGAUAUGUGUUUUGUCACACUAUGUAGAGGAAGACAUAGUUGAGGAAGUGACAUCUACUGUUCACACCUGUCUUUACAGAAAUAACCUACCUGCUGUCCGGCAGUACUUGGAGACGUUUGCUAUACUUAUUUACUUAAAAUUUCCAACACUGGCUGAAGCACAGCUUGUUCCUAUUUUUCAUGACCACGGAAUGCGACAACAGGCACUAUCUUCAUAUGUUUUUAUAGCAGCAAACGUAAUCCUCCAUUCAGGGGAGCUGGUUGUCCAGAGAAACCAUCUUAAUCAACUGCUUCCUCCAAUAAUUUCAUUUUUAACAUCCCAUCAUCACAGUCUACGUAGUUUCACUCAGCUACUUGUCCACACUGUUUUUUCCAAGUUGUGGCAUAUUUUGCAACUAGAAAGCUCAGAAAAUCCAUCCAUCGAGAGGAGGUGCUUUCAAGAUUUGAAAAAGUAUCUGGCAGAGAAUACCGACUGCGCAAGGCUAAGAGUUUCAAUCGAAGGUUUCCUUGAUGUUUUUGAUCCUGAUAUAUCUGGGACUCCACCGGGAAUAUUUACAGCUCGCAUUGAGUCGUCUGGCUUUGAAUGUGUUCCAGUGUCGGUGUUGGAGCGAGUAAAUAACUUUUUGAAUGACGUGAGGGAGGAGCUGAGGCAUUCUAUGAUAAAGGAUUCAGCAACAAUCAAGAACGAGGGUCUGGCGGUGAGCAAACACGAGGAGGGCACCGAAGAGAAGAUAGUAGCCAGUCAAGAUUUCCAGAAGAAGAUCAUACCCCACCGGGACUCGGAGCAAGCAGCGAGCAGCAACGGUGCGGUCAUGGGCAACAAUGACAUCUCGCGACUGCUCUUCGAGAUGGAGGAAGACGACGACACGUUCAACCUUGCGGUGGAAUCAAGGAAGGAGGCGGCGGAGACUGUGAGGCAGAGCCGGCAGGAUCUGAUCGUGGUGGCGUCGUUGGUGGAGCGGAUCCCGAACCUGGCGGGGCUGACCCGGACGUGCGAGAUAUUCAGGGCUGGCGGGCUGGCGGUGGGGGACAUGGGGGUGGUCCAGGACAAGCAGUUCCGGCUGAUCAGCGUGACUGCGGAGAAGUGGGUGCCGAUGGUGGAGGUGCCGGCGGAGAGCGUGAGGGCGUUUUUACAGAGGAAGCGGGCGGAGGGGUACACGGUGGUGGGGCUGGAGCAGACGGCCAACAGCGUGGCGCUAGACGAGUUUGUGUUCCCGGCCAAGACGGUGGUUGUGCUAGGGCGGGAGAAGGAAGGGAUCCCGGUGGACAUCAUCCAGGAGGCGGUGGACGUGUGUGUCGAGAUCCCGCAGCUUGGCGUCGUCCGGUCACUCAACGUACAUGUCAGCGCCGCCAUCGCCAUCUGGGACUACACCCGUCAGCAGCGCUCCCGCUCCUCCUCCUCGCGGUAG